GAUGAAGAACGUAGCGAAAUGCGAUAAGUAAUGUGAAUUGCAGAAUCCCGUGAACCAUCGAGUCUUUGAACGCAAGUUGCGCCUCAAGCCAUUAGGUUGAGGGCACGUCUGCCUGGGCGUCACAUAUCGUUGCCUGAUGCCAGUUUCCUCGUGAUGGGUGACUGUGCAGGGCGAAUGAUGGCUUCCCGUGAGCAUUGUUGCCUCAUGGUUGGUUGAAAAUUGAGUCCUUGGUAGGGAGCGCCGUGAUAAAUGGUGGUUGAGUGACGAACGAGACCCAAUCAUGUGAGACCCCUACCGAAUUUGGCCUUCAUGACCCACAUGCGUCUUUGGAACGCUCAUGACGAGACCUCAGGUCAGGCGGGGCUACCCGCUGAGUUUAAGCAUAUCAAUAAGCGGAGGA
rnacentral:misc_RNA from 1 species